UGCUUGUUGUUUCGUUUGGCGCAUUUUUGCUGCUUAAACUGAAUUUAUUUCACUGUUAUUCAAAGAUUAUCAUGAUUAUUAUGAUUAUCCUAAAGCCAAUCCUCAUCAGUAAAUCGCCAUUUCGUGAGCAUCACUUGUAACCUUUCAACAUCAUCUCAUCAGCUUGUUUCCCAUGUUUUUUUUGUGUUUCCCUUUUCUCUCUCCUCUUCUCUCACUUUACAUCUUCUGCUCAUUUAACCUUUAUUUUUUUUCAGGCGAAAGGCAUAAAACUAUUGAAGUGGCCUUAUGGUUUGACAGAUCUCAUCAUCCUCAUGUCUAUCAAUUAUUCUCACCGGAAAUUAUAAUUUAUAAUUUUCUCUUGGCUCACCGUUUUAUCCCAAAGAGUUAUUCAUAUCAGAUGGACACACAUUGACAGUCAAAGGAAACAAAAAAAAAGGGUUCAUAGAGGAUCAUUACAAAUCAAGUCAUGGAUGUGGAAAAGAAGGUCAAGAUUAACGCAAUGGGAAUACAGAAGCACAUCUCUGAUUAUUUAACUGUCGAUUAGUUGAACAAUGAACCAGAUCCCGUUUUUGUUACCUUAACUUCGUGCAAAAAGAUUUCUAAAGCGAUUGUGUAAAUUAUCAAAGCCAAUUAAUUAUUGCUAUCAAAAUACUUCAACAAAGUUACAAAUCUGCACACAAGAAGAGAGAUCAUCUUUAUCACCGUUAAAUAAUCAACGUAAUCAUUGAUCUUUGUGGCCAUUUGAAGUAUUCAACACAUUCAUAGGUACACACGGUGUAACAUUGCAGGUACACCAAAAAGGUAUUUAAGCUUGUUUUUUGAUAUGAAGAUGUUUAAGAUCAGACCAGUAUAGUUCACAUCUUUUUAUUGGUGAAGUUGACAUGAAAAUGCUUCAAAAGCUGAACAAAGUUUAUGUAAUCAACAAAAGAUGGUUUGGAUAUUUAUGUCAAGUUGGGAUUGACAAUGUAAUAUUGACAAUGGCAUGUGUAUUGACUUAUUCUGUCAAUAUUUCCCUGGAUCUUUCCAUGUGUAUAACACUUGAACUUGAUUCAACCUAUCAAAACAUGGAAAUUGAGUUAAACGACAAAUUUGAUCCAACAAUCAAUCCACAUCAAUAAACCCAUUUUAAAAGUGACUAUAAAAAAGGGAAAGGGCUGGAAACAUGGUGGCAAAAUGGUUUCAACAUUUGAACAAAACAUGAAAGAAUAAAAGGAAACAAGAAAUUCUGGUCCAAAAAAACAGAUAAUAACAUUCAUUGAAAGCGAUUAACAAAAAUGAUUCUCAAUGUGGAUGAUCAUUGAUCGUAUCAAGCAAACAUAGAGACAGGAUUGCAGUUGAGUAAAGAUAUAAAUUGUGAAAAGGGCAAGAAACGAUCUAUUGACAAGGUCAACUGAGGUUGUUUUUGUCCACCCGCACUUAUAACGAUCAACCUUUUGCGAAAUCAUCCCUUAAAUCAUUAUAAUUUGAUCGGAGCGUUGAAUAUUGGAUAUGAUAGCAACCAUCCAGUUAUCAAUGGAAUCAACCAUUUAGUUAUCCGAAUUGGAAUCAUCAACGGCAUCAUCAAAUUUAUAUGUGUUUAUGUCACCCUUAAAUAAUGUGAAAAGAUGUUUCAAAUGAUGUUUGAUUAAUGGUUUGGACAAGCAAAAAAAGUUACAUUUAAGUAUCACUUCGAGACAAUUUGGUUUUCAAGCAAACUGAUUCCACGUCAACACAUUUAAUUUGCAGCCUUUAAUCGUACCUAAUCAACCAGGAAAACUCUCAACAGUGCCAAGUGGAAAAGGCGAAACUGGACCUAAUUGUUACCUGUAAUGAUAAUCAUUGUGAUACUUGGAAGCCAAUGAAUGUAUAAUAUACAUGGGUGUUCAAUGUUGAUUAAUGUAAUUUGCCUGCAUCGCCAUCAUCAUCAUUAUCUUCCUCUUUUGUUGCUUUGUUGACAGACUAUUUUAUCUUCUGCUUGCCAUUCCAUGUCAGUUUGACCUGUUAAUGAUGAUUUGCAGGACAAGAUGACUUUUAAUUCCUGGAUUAACUCUGUUAACAUUCAAUGUAAUAACCAGUAAUCAUCUAGUUGAUAUUUAAUUUGUUAUCCUAUGUCAUCAACUUAAUGAAAACUCUGGUAAUCAUGCAAAUUGAUUCAAGAUUUUACUGAACCCACUGAUUUCCAUUAAUCCAUGUAAAAAAUGACAGUUGAGCUGAAUUUUAAAAGAAGUCUGAUUACUUGGAUUGAAAGCAAGCAAUACAAAUAAAGCUAAACAAAUGGUAAACAAUUGUAUUUGUAAAUCCAUAUUGAACUGGUUUUGAUGGAUGAAAAUCACAAUGAAAACUAGCCACUAACUGGCUUAAUGGCAAAUCAACAAUCCAAUUUGAAAAGCCUGAUUUACCAAUUAACCAACCUCCAAGGAUGAUAAUAAUGAUUUAUCCACAAUAUAUUGAUAUCAACAUUGAUCUUUUUUUACUUGAAACUAAUCCAGUCAGUCCGGAACCAUCUAAUUAUAUUGAUAUUGUUUACAGUUGAAAUAUUUCAUUGAUUAACCAGAAUAAUAGACUGUUAUCAAUUAAAAGCAGUCUUAUAAGCCUAUCCCAUGAGCAUUUUGUUAACAACAGCAAUAAUGAUAAUAUUAAUAGAUGAUGAUAAUAAUAAUAGUAAUAAUAAAUUGUUGAAGCUCAUAA